GUGCUCACUUCUGCAACACAUAUACUAAAACUGGAACAAUAUACAGAAGAUUAGCAUGGCCCCUGGGCAAGGAUGACAUGCAAAUUCAUGAAGUGUUCCAUAUUAAA
rnacentral:snRNA from 1 species